CAAGCGAUAGGUAAGGGCAUCUGGUGAAUGCCUUGGCAAUCAGAGGCGAAGAAGGACGUGAUACACUGCGAAAAGCCGUGGGGAGCUGUGAAUAGGCAUUGAUCCGCGGAUCUCCGAAUGGGGAAACCCACAGAGUAAUCUGUAUCAAUAUCUGAAUCUAUAGGGUAUUGAAGCGAACGCAGGGAACUGAAACAUCUAAGUACCUGUAGGAAAGGAAAUCAACCGAGACUCCGAGAGUAGUGGCGAGCGAAAUCGGACCAGCCAAUUUGCGAUUAGAUAAGAACCGGAAGUGUCUGGGAAGGCACAUCAUAGAGGGUGAUAGUCCCGUACGGGUAGAAAGUUUAAUUGUAAGAGAGUAGGGCGGAGCACGAGAAAUUCUGUCUGAAGAUAGGUCGACCACGAUCUAAGGCUAAGUACUACUGAUUGACCGAUAGUGAACCAGUACCGUGAGGGAAAGGUGAAAAGCACCCCGACAAGGGGAGUGAAAGAGAACCUGAAACCGGAUGCCUACAAGCAGUCGGAGGGGCAUUAAGCCCUGACGGCGUACCUUUUGUAUAAUGGGUCAGCGAGUUAGUUUAUGUAGCAAGCAUAAGCCGAUAGGUGGAUGCGUAGCGAAAGCGAGUGUUAAUAGCGCGUUAAGUUACAUGAAUUAGACCCGAAACCGAGUGAUCUAGCCAUGAACAGGUUGAAGGUUGGGUAACACCAACUGGAGGACCGAACCCACUCCCGUUGAAAAGGUAGGGGAUGAUUUGUGGCUAGGGGUGAAAGGCCAAUCAAACUCGGAAAUAGCUGGUUCUCCGCGAAAACUAUUUAGGUAGUGCGGUAGGCGAACACCAUGAGGGGUAGAGCACUGAAAGAGCUAAGGGGGAGCGAUCCUUACUAAACUUUAUCAAACUCCGAAUACUCAUGAGUGAUACUUACCAGACAGACAGUAGGUGCUAAGGUCUAUUGUCGAGAGGGAAAGAGCCCAGACCGUCAACUAAGGUCCCUAAAUUAUGGCUAAGUGGUAAAGGAAGUGGGAUAUCCAAAACAGUCAGGAGGUUGGCUUAGAAGCAGCCAUCCUUUAAAGAAAGCGUAAUAGCUCACUGAUCUAAAUAAGACGUCCUGCGCCGAAGAUGUAACGGGGCUAAAGCCAUAUACCGAAGUUACGGGAUUGUAUUGCAAUAGAUACAAUCGGUAGCGGAGCGUUCUGUAGGCCUGCGAAGGUAAACCGUAAGGUUUGCUGGAGGUAUCAGAAGUGAGAAUGCUGACAUGAGUAGCGAAAAGAAGAGUGAGAGACUCUUCCGCUGAAAGUCCAAGGUUUCCUGCGUAAAGCUAAUCUGCGCAGGGUUAGUCGGCCCCUAAGGCGAGGCAGAGAUGCGUAGCUGAUGGGAACACGGUUAAUAUUCCGUGACCAGUUAGGAAGUGACGGAUACAGUAGUUUGUACAUGCUUAAUGGAUUGUGUGUGCAAGUGAUGUGUCCCGGGAAAUAGCCCUAACGAAGACCGUACCCGAAACCGACACAGGUGGACAGGUAGAGUAUACCAAAGCGCUUGAGAGAACUAUGUUGAAGGAACUAGGCAAAAUGCUUGUGUAACUUCGGGAUAAGCAAGCCCGGUUUUAAGGCAACUUAAGGCCGGGGGCACAUACUAGGGGGUAGCGACUGUUUAACAAAAACACAGGACUCUGCGAAAUUGAAAGAUGAAGUAUAGGGUCUGUCUCUUAUACACAUCUCCGAGCCCACGAGACCGG
rnacentral:rRNA from 1 species